GAUGAACGCUGGCGGCGUGCCUAAUACAUGCAAGUCGAGCGAACAGACGAGGAGCUUGCUCCUCUGACGUUAGCGGCGGACGGGUGAGUAACACGUGGAUAACCUACCUAUAAGACUGGGAUAACUUCGGGAAACCGGAGCUAAUACCGGAUAAUAUAUUGAACCGCAUGGUUCAAUAGUGAAAGACGGUUUUGCUGUCACUUAUAGAUGGAUCCGCGCCGCAUUAGCUAGUUGGUAAGGUAACGGCUUACCAAGGCAACGAUGCGUAGCCGACCUGAGAGGGGGAUCGGCCACACUGGAACUGAGACACGGUCCAGACUCCUACGGGAGGCAGCAGUAGGGAAUCUUCCGCAAUGGGCGAAAGCCUGACGGAGCCACGCCGCGUGAGUGAUGAAGGUCUUCGGAUCGUAAAACUCUGUUAUUAGGGAAGAACAAAUGUGUAAGUAACUAUGCACGUCUUGACGGUACCUAAUCAGAAAGCCCCGGCUAACUACGUG
rnacentral:rRNA from 1 species